GCAACAAGGCAAAGCAAGAGGCCACCCGCACCGAGGCAGAUGAAGGGAUUAAAACAUAAUCUGAAGAUGAAGCGGAGGUUGAUGGCACCAACAUACCCCUUCCUGAUGAUGCCACUGAUGACCUAGUUGAUGAGUACCUUCCUGGCAAGAAUCGACACACCAGCUACGAAAAAAUAUUGACUAAAGAUCAAUUGGAGGAAGAACAGCGGUCAGAUUGGAAGAGCGUCGUGCAG